rnacentral:rRNA from 1 species
AACGAACGCUGGCGGCGUGCCUAACACAUGCAAGUCGUACGAGAAACACGUCCUUCGGGAUGUGGAGUAAAGUGGCGCACGGGUGAGUAACACGUGGGUAACCUGCCUUGGGGAUCGGGAUAACUGGCCGAAAGGCCCGCUAAUACCGGAUGAGACCACAUGAGCUACGGCUCAAGGGGUCAAUGUCGGCCUCUCAACGAAGCCGGCACCACAAGAUGGGCCCGCGGACCAUUAGCUAGUUGGUAGGGUAACGGCCUACCAAGGCUGAGAUGGUUAGCUGGUCUGAGAGGAUGAUCAGCCACACUGGAACUGAGAUACGGUCCAGACUCCUACGGGAGGCAGCAGUGAGGAAUAUUGCGCAAUGGAGGAAACUCUGACGCAGCAACGCCGCGUGGGUGAAGAAGGCUUUCGGGUUGUAAAGCCCUGUCAGGCGGGAAGAAACUUCCGCAGGUGAAUAGUCUGUGGAACUGACGGUACCGCCAAAGGAAGCACCGGCUAACUCCGUGCCAGCCGCCGCUGUAAUAC